ACGCUCGACACCUACUGGAGGCAGCAGUCGGGAAUAUUGCGCAAUGGAGGAAACUCUGACGCAGUGACGCCGCGUAUAGGAAGAAGGUUUUCGGAUUGUAAACUAUUGUCGUUAGGGAAGAAAAAGGACAGUACCUAAGGAGGAAGCUCCGGCUAACUACGUGCCGGCAGCCGCGGUAAUCUGAGCGGGCGUGGCGAAGGCG
rnacentral:rRNA from 1 species